rnacentral:lncRNA from 1 species
CCUGGCCUUCUACCCCUUCAGUGUUGGGAUCUUCCUUGCUCAGUUUUGUUGAUCAGAAAGCAUCAGAUUCUGAGAACACAAGCUCCAUGGUGGGCCCUGGUGUGGGGGAGAUACAUGGCUUCUGUUCUGAAUUCACUGGAGGGAAAAGAAAAAGUGAUGAAGAAACCUCCAAGGUGGGAGGAAGGCGAAGCUGCAGCCAGGUUCUCCUCUCACUCCUCCAUCCUCCCGAGACUCACUUCUGCCGAAGACUCUGCAGCUCAGCCCAGAACUCCUCAUCUUCCCCACUGCUUUCUGACUCCUCGCUGCUCAAACACAGGCUGCUGUAGGAGUAGUUCAUCCACACUGGGCUGGGAUGGCUCAGGGGUUGGGGGCUGCCCCCAACUUGGGGUUCCUUCCCAUCAUCUCCUUCCUCCUCAACUCCAGCCCCCAGACCCUCAGCUGCACGGUCGCUCUCAGCCAGAGCUUCCCUGGUCUCUGGCCCGCCUCCAGCACUGUCCUCUGUAUCUGAGCUCUCUGAAGUGAGCUGAGGGGUUGAAGGUUUUGGAGAACCAGAGAGAGUGGGGGAUGUUGGCUGCAAGGGAAGAGGCUCAGCCGGUUCCUUGGAUGAAGUCACUUGGAAACGCCCAACAAGCUGCGGCUUUCCCUCUGUAGGGCGACGAGGAAGAAGGCAUGAGGAAAGGAGAGCAGUGACAGGACAGACAGUGAGUAGGGAUAAUGGCAGGGGAAGGUCAGUGGUCAGAGGCCUUACCUUCAGAGAUGGGCGCCAGCCUGGCUUCCCCUGGGAGGGGCCGAGCAGGAGGUGGUGAGGCCUAGAAAGUGGGGGGCCAUGAGAAGGGAAGAGUGCAGAGUGGAGUCUCCCUAAUCAUCCCUCUUGGUUUUCUACUCACCUCACUCUCCACCUCAGCUGUGUGGGGUGAAGGGCUUUCCUGGCCACCAGGAGCAACGGGAGGGGGAAGGGGCAGGCUAGGGAGGGGACUAGGAGGGGCUGGAGGAGACUGGGAAAGGAGCCCAGGUGAGGGGGACAGCAGGGACUGGGCCACAGUCAUCACAGCCAGUGAGAAGGCACUAGCCAGAGAAAGGAGAGGGGCUGCUGUGGUGGAGGGGAAGGAAGAAGUGGAGGGGCACGGAGGAAAGAAAGGGGAACUAAGAGUGACCUGAGAACAAGUGGGAGAGAA